CGCCCCGUCAUUGGGGAGUAGUCGCCUUCCACCCUGAGGAGGGGCCUGCGUCAACAUACUUGAUCCACAGAUCAUGGCGCCGGCGGUUCCAACAGCUUGACAAGACCUUUGACCACGUUGCCUCUGGAAUGGCCGGAGAGCGCGCGUGGUCAUUCGUCCGUGUCCGGCCAUGGAGA
rnacentral:sRNA from 2 species